rnacentral:rRNA from 1 species
CCUACGGGUGGCAGCAGUGAGGAAUAUUGGUCAAUGGACGGAAGUCUGAACCAGCCAUGCCGCGUGCAGGAAGACGGCUCUAUGAGUUGUAAACUGCUUUUGUACAAGGGAAAACCUGAAUACGUGUAUGCAGCUGAAAGUACGGUACGAAUAAGGAUCGGCUAACUCCGUGCCAGCAGCCGCGGUAAUACGGAGGAGCCAAGCGUUAUGCGGAUUUAUUGGGUUUAAAGGGUGCGUAGGCGGCUUGAUAAGUUAGAGGUGAAAUGUCCGCGCUUAACUCGGGAACUGCCUCUCAUACUUUUGAUCUAGCGCGUAGAUGCGGUAGGCGGAAUGUUUGUUGUCGCGG